rnacentral:rRNA from 1 species
ACACCGGCAGCUCAAGUGGUAGCCGCUUUUAUUGGGCUUAAAGCGUCGGAACCCGGUCUGUAAGGCUUCUGGUGAAUCCCCCCACCUUACUGGGGGGAUUGCCUGGAGAUCUAACAAGACUCGGAGUCCGGAGGGGCCGGGGGGACCUCCAGGGGAAGGGGGAAAAUCUGGAAAUCCUGGGAGGACCACCUGGGGCGAAGGCGUCCAGCUGGAACGAACCGGACGGGGAGGGACGAAAGCCAGGGGCGCGAACCGGAUUAGAUACCCGGGUAGUCCUGGCCGUAAACGAUGUGGACUUGGUGUUGGGAUGGCUUCGAGCUGCCCCAGUGCCGAAGGGAAGCUGUUAAGUCCACCGCCUGGGAAGUACGGCCGCAAGGCUGAAACUUAAAUGAAUUGGCGGGG